rnacentral:rRNA from 1 species
AACGAACGCUGGCGGCGCGCCUAAUACAUGCAAGUCGAGCGAGAAGACGUAGCAAUACGUUUGUAAAGCGGCGAACGGGUGAGGAAUACAUGGGUAACCUACCCUCGAGUGGGGAAUAACUAGCCGAAAGGUUAGCUAAUACCGCGUACGCUCCUUGGACUUCGGUUCAGGGAGGAAAGCGAUACCGUGGGUAUCGCGCUCUUGGAUGGGCUCAUGUCCUAUCAGCUUGUUGGUGAGGUAACGGCUCACCAAGGCUUCGACGGGUAGCUGGUCUGAGAGGACGACCAGCCACACUGGCACUGCGACACGGGCCAGACUCCUACGGGAGGCAGCAGUAAGGAAUAUUGCGCAAUGGGCGAAAGCCUGACGCAGCGACGCCGCGUGGGGGAUGAAGGUCUUCGGAUUGUAAACCCCUUUCGGGAGGGAAGAUGGAACGAGCAAUCGUUCGGACGGUACCUCCAGAAG